rnacentral:rRNA from 1 species
UACGGAGGGGGCUAGCGUUGUUCGGAAUUACUGGGCGUAAAGCGCACGUAGGCGGCUUUGUAAGUUAGAGGUGAAAGCCCGGGGCUCAACCCCGGAACAGCCUUUAAGACUGCAUCGCUAGAAUCCGGGAGAGGUGAGUGGAAUUCCGAGUGUAGAGGUGAAAUUCGUAGAUAUUCGGAAGAACACCAGUGGCGAAGGCGGCUCACUGGACCGGCAUUGACGCUGAGGCGCGAAAGCGUGGGGAGCAAACAGG